GAUGAAGAACGUAGUGAAAUGCGAUAAGUAAUGUGAAUUGCAGAAUUCAGUGAAUCAUCGAGUUUUUGAACGCACAUUGCGCCCCCUGGUAUUCCGGGGGGCAUGCCUGUCCGAGCGUCAUUACAACCCUCAAGCUCAGCUUGGUGUUGGGCCCCGCCGCCCCGGCGGGCCCUAAAGUCAGUGGCGGUGCCGUCCGGCUCCGAGCGUAGUAAUUCUUCUCGCUCUGGAGGUCCGGUCGUGUGCUCGCCAGCAACCCCCAAUUUUUUUCAGGUUGACCUCGGAUCAGGUAGGGAUACCCGCUGAACUUAAGCAUAUCAAUAAGCGAAGGA
rnacentral:misc_RNA from 1 species